UGGUGGAGUGAUUUGUCUGCUUAAUUGCGAUAACGAACGAGACCUUAACCUGCUAAAUAGCCAGGCUAGCUUUUGCUGGUCGCCGGCUUCUUAGAGGGACUAUCGGCUCAAGCCGAUGGAAGUUGGAGGCAAUAACA
rnacentral:rRNA from 1 species